rnacentral:tRNA from 1 species
UGCCGGUGAGCGCCGGUGCGUCGGCGCCGCUGGCGGUGGCCCCGACGGGCUUGCCCGGUUCCUUGGGUUCCAGCACCGGUUUGGCGUCC